ensembl:lncRNA
CCAAGCGGUAGUGCUGUAGGGAGGUAGUUAAGGAAGGAGGGGUCCCUCAUCGGUGGAUUUCGUGCCUGUAUAAGAAACCAGUGCUUGUUCUCUUCCCACCAAAUGAGGACACGGGGAGAAGACAGUCACCUGUGGGUCAGGAGGAGAGGCCUCAGCAGGAGCCUGAUGUCCUUAGGAACUUUCAGGCUUCCCGACCUGUGAGAAAUAAGCAUUCCUUUUCUAGGAAUGUACUUCUCUUGUACUUCUCUUAUGGCAGCCUUAGUUGAUUAGGACACUGUGGAAAUCUUCCAUGAUUAAAUCAGUUCAAGUGUUUUGUGUCCAGAAUAUGCUGUGGUCCAGGAGUGGAGAUGCUGGCCAGAGAAGCAAAGGUCUCCAAAAUCAACACUUUCUUGGCCUGCAGGACCAUAGCAUUGACUGAACCCAGUGCCUUACUUUGCCAGGAAAGAAGGAGUGACAAUCCCUUUUGACAACAGCAAUGAACAGCCUAUAUCUGGCUCCUUUGCAUUUUGAGACCAAAGGGAACAUGAAUUUCCAAACCCAUUCUCGGAAUAAUCCUUAGCAGCUACCAUUACUCAUAACUGAUCAAUAACAAAAAUAAUGAGAAGCAUGACAGGAGGUUCUUUUGGGGAAUUAUUCCUUCCAACGUCAGGAUGAGUGGUCAGCUUUCUGGGUUCUGGGCCAUUCAGUUUUUAGAAACUGCAGCACAGAUGCUACUGGCUUUUGGAUGCUUCAAACUGAGGAAAGGAGAGAGGAUAAAAAGCAGGUGAAGGAAGAUGCACUAACAGUAUGAGCCAAUGAAGUGUUUGGAAUAAGAAAGCCCCUCAGACUUGGGCCUAGAUACAAGCAGGAAGAACAAGGAGGAAAGAAGCACAAGCAAAAGUCAGGCUCAAGGAAAAGACUGCAUGAUUCAAAGAGAUUACAAGACAAUACCUGGAAAUGGAAAGCAAGGAAGUAUAAAGUAACAAGUAUUACAGAGAUGACAGAGGACACUAGAAGCACCAGCAAAUAAAGCAAGUAUAGGGCCGGGGAUUUAGCUCAGUGGUGCCACCGCCUGCCUCGCAAGAGCAAGGUCCCC